rnacentral:rRNA from 1 species
AGUGAAACUGCGUACAGCUCAUUAUAUCAGUUAUUAUUUAUUUGAUGGUACCUUACUACAUGGAUACCCGUAGUAAUUCUAGAGCUAAUACAUGCGUCAAGUCCCGACUUUUUGGAAGGGAUGUAUUUAUUAGAUAAAAAACCAAUGCAGGCAACUGCUCUCUUGGUGAUUCAUAGUAACUUUUCGGAUCGCACGGCUUCACGUCGGCGACAGUUCAUUCAAAUUUCUGCCCUAUCAGCUUUCGACGGUACUGUAGUGGACUACCGUGGCAUUAACGGGUGACGGAGAAUUAGGGUUCGAUUCCGGAGAGGGAGCCUGAGAAACGGCUACCACAUCCAAGGAAGGCAGCAGGCGCGCAAAUUACCCGAUCCUGACACAGGGAGGUAGUGACAAAAAAUAACAAUACCGGGCCUUUUUAGGUCUGGUAAUUGGAAUGAGUACAAUUUAAAUCCCUUAACGAGUAUCCAUU